rnacentral:rRNA from 1 species
UACGUAGGGUGCAAGCGUUAAUCGGAAUUACUGGGCGUAAAGCGUGCGCAGGCGGUUCGCUAAGACAGAUGUGAAAUCCCCGGGCUUAACCUGGGAACUGCAUUUGUGACUGGCGGGCUAGAGUAUGGCAGAGGGGGGUAGAAUUCCACGUGUAGCAGUGAAAUGCGUAGAGAUGUGGAGGAAUACCGAUGGCGAAGGCAGCCCCCUGGGAUAACACUGACGCUCAGGCACGAAAGCGUGGGGAGCAAACAGG